UGGGGUAUCGCCAAGCGGUAAGGCACCGGUUUUUGAUACCGGCAUUCCCUGGUUCGAAUCCAGGUACCCCAG
rfam:Bacteria symbiont BFo1 of Frankliniella occidentalis strain BFo1 contig195, whole genome shotgun sequence.